AACUAACGCUAUAUAAGUAUCAGUUUCUGUACUUUAUUGUUUGACAGACCAUCUCUCUCUGGUCCGUCAACACAGCCCUCUUGUACCCUAACCCUAGGACAUCGUCCGACACCUGUGUUCCUUGUGCGGUCACAGGUGUCGCAUCGCUCGCCUUCCUCGUUUUUCCUCCUCCCUCUCUGUCUCUGUUUCUCUGCCUUCGCCUUGUCACCGUCAUCGCCCCGAGUCCAUUACCUGUGCGUGGCGGUGAUGGCGGUGGUGAUGGCGGCGGAGGUGGUAGAAGGGAUCAGUGACUGUGAAGAAAGGAUGAGUGGGAGUCGGAAAGAAGAGGAAGGCAGAGCUGGCCCCGUGUGCGUGCCUGUCUGUCUGUGUGCCUGUACGUGCGUAUGUGUGUGUGCGUGUGUGUGGUGGUGGUGCAUUUCACGUUGCAGUCAUCGACGUCUGUACGCAUGCAGACAAGCACCACACGGGAGAUUGCGUCUGGUUGAUGAUGGCUCUGGCUGCUGCUCGUUGCGUGUGUAUGCGUGUGUGCGCGUACGUGUGCAUCUCCCGCAGUGAAAGUAUUCCGUGUUCUCUUGCCCAUCGGGCGGUUUUGUGCGGCGCGAUCCCCUUCACUUCUGAUAUAUGCAUGCACGUGUCUGCUUUUGUUUUCCGUCUCCGUCUCGCUGUCCCUCCACCACUGCGCAUCGCCACCAAUCGCGACUCUGUGUGCUUGCAUGUCUGUCCUUCGUCUCAGCACGCGCGUGCGCGCACACUAUGCCGGCCCUUCAUCGCUCAACGGCUCUUUUUCCGUUUCGCACCUGUGCCCUCAGGAGCGCGUAAGCACGCCUAAGCACACACCGUCACGCAGAAUCAGACCCCACGCGUGAUUGCAAGCGAUGCGGCCUCUCACUGCAGUCGAGGUGGGGCAACGGGCGCAGUCCGCCUUCUCCCUUUCUCAUUUGCUUUUCAGUAUGCUGGCCUUCUCGCCGUCGGUGAGGGUGUUAUGUGUGUGCGUGCGGGCGUGUGGUGCACCACCAUGGACUGUGAGAACUAGCACGGCCACUCAGGCAUGCACACAUACACGUGCACGUGCACGUGCACACGCGCGUGCACCGACUUUGUAGCGCGAUCCUCCGCCUCUCCAGUGUCGCGCACUUUGCGCUCUCUCUCGUGUGCUUUUCUCUCUCUCUACCUACAUCUGCAUCGGUGCGAUGUUGCAUGCAAAGAACAGGAUGGAAGUGGAAGUGGGGAAGGUUCACGUGACGCAAGAGAGAAGAGACGGGGAAGCGUUUUCAGAGGCGGGUGCGCACACGUGCGGCGUGUCUUGUGCGUGUGUGUGUGUGCAUGUCAAGCCACCUUAGCAAAUAGGGGAGGUGGGAGGUGUUUACUGUGUCCACUUGCCUGUCGCAUCGCACUGCCCGGCGUAUCCGUGUCGGCAAGCAUGUGUGUCGAUCUGUGCAAUAUCUGUGUGUUUGGGGUGUUCUUGCGUGCUUGAGACCGAGGGGGUCGGAACGAGUGGUGGAGGGGCCACGGCUGCCCUUGAUGUGUCACGCCGCGUACGAGAAGAAGAGGGAGGGUGGGUGAGCAUGAGGCCUGGUGAUGAUGGUGCGGUGAAGAGGUGAUGCGAGAGAAUCGGGUGAGAAGGGGCUAGCUGGUGGGAAGUACGCUCGUGUGUAUGUGUGUGUGUGUGUGUGCCCGUCUCGUGUGGAGAGGGGGCGGGAAGCAGACGGCGGUGAUAGGCAGGGUCCUGUGGUGUGUUGGUGAUGGGGCGGAGAAUGUAAAGGAAAGCCAAGAUGCGGAGAAGAACUGUGACUGAGCAUGUCAUCUGAGAAAGUGAGGGGUGGUGAUGCAAAGAGGGGCACAGACGACGGAGAAGUGGCGUGCACUUGCGUGUCUGUCCACGUAUGUGUGUGCGUAUGCGUAUAUGUCUAUGUGUGGGUGCGCGAGAGUUCGCUGGUCUUGCGUGGAUGCCGAAUGCGCGGCAGCCGUGUCCUGUGGUAUGGAGCUGCCCCUUCUUCCCGUUUUUAUCGACGCCACGCUGCGGUUCCCCUCGAUGCACUGUUGCGAGUCGAUAAGGCGAAAGAGAGUGGGGGAGGGGCAACGAGCGGCGCUCCUGGGUGCGUCUCAAGAUGCGCAUGUGUGUCUCGUGGAGGAAGGGAGAUGAGGGAAGACGAAAG
rnacentral:telomerase_RNA from 1 species